AGCUCCAAUAGCGUAUAUUAAAGUUGUUGCAGUUAAAAAGCUCGUAGUUGGAUUUUGGGGCGGGGUGAACGGUCGGCCUAUUGGUAUGUACUGUUUGCUACGUCCUUCCUUCUGGGGACCUUCUCUGCUCUUGAAUGAGUGGGGUGUGGGACGCAGAUCUUUUACUUUGAAAAAAUUAGAGUGUUCAAAGCAGGCAUUUGCUCUGAAUACAUUAGCAUGGAAUAAUGGAAUAGGACUUUGGUUCUAUUUUGUUGGUUUCUAGGACCGAAGUAAUGAUUAAUAGGGAUGGUUGGGGGCGUUCGUAUUGCGUUGUCAGAGGUGAAAUUCUUGGAUUUGCGCAAGACGAACUUCUGCGAAAGCAUCCGCCAAGGACGUUUUCAUUA
rnacentral:rRNA from 1 species